rnacentral:rRNA from 1 species
UACGUAGGGUGCAAGCGUUAAUCGGAAUUACUGGGCGUAAAGCGUGCGCAGGCGGUUCUUUAAGACAGAUGGGAAAUCCCCGGGCUCAACCUGGGAACUGCAUUUGUGACUGUAGAGCUGGAGUACGGCAGAGGGGGAUGGAAUUCCGCGUGUAGCAGUGAAAUGCGUAGAUAUGCGGAGGAACACCGAUGGCGAAGGCAAUCCCCUGGGCCUGUACUGACGCUCAUGCACGAAAGCGUGGGGAGCAAACAGG